GUGAGCACGCCGGGACUUUCAUCCGUCUUGUUAACAGGUAAAUUCCCCUUUGCUUUGCGCGAUUUCAUAGACAAAAUACAUUACAUUUGCUACUGCAACUAAUCUGUAUAGUGGAUAUCGGAAGUGACACUAUCUUUUAUUUGCUCUUUUCAGUGAUAAACGCGCCAAAUACGACAUCAUCGAGUGCAACUGGAUUUCUGACUCUGUGACUCGGAUUAUAUUAUUCCCAAUUACAGGGUUCAGGUGAAACACCAGGAAGAAGAAUCCAGCACUGGAUGAUCAGCCUUGAGGAGCACAUCAUUUGUGAGGGCAUCCAGCCGCCUUUUCUGUCUGGGCUUGCAGCUGAUUUUUCUACUUACAACAAUUUCAAUCUUCAAUACCAAGCUGAAGACGCAUGCAUGUUGGAAAUUAUUCAAAGGUGGUUCAUCGAGAUAAAUCCGGAAAAGGGACCAGGGCUGGAGGAGUCAUAUCAAAGCUGAUGGGGAAGGUCACCCAGAAAAAGAAAACCGUGAACCCUCGUGUCUGCAGUCUACUUAAAAAAAUGUAUGGAUUUUGAGUUGGA